rnacentral:piRNA from 1 species
UGGGUGCUGGUACCUGCCUUCCCGGACACCU